UACGUAGGGUGCAAGCGUUGUCCGGAAUUAUUGGGCGUAAAGAGCUCGUAGGCGGUCUGUCGCGUCGGCUGUGAAAACUUGGGGCUCAACCCCAAGCCUGCAGUCGAUACGGGCAGACUAGAGUGCGGUAGGGGAGACUGGAAUUCCUGGUGUAGCGGUGAAAUGCGCAGAUAUCAGGAGGAACACCGGUGGCGAAGGCGGGUCUCUGGGCAGUAACUGACGCUGAGGAGCGAAAGCGUGGGGAGCGAACAGG
rnacentral:rRNA from 1 species